rnacentral:rRNA from 1 species
GAUGAACGCUGGCGGCGUGCCUAACACAUGCAAGUCGAGCGGAGAUUUGGGAAGUAGUAAUACGGAACAAAUCUUAGCGGCGGACGGGUGAGUAACACGUGAGGAACCUACCUUCAACUGGGGAAUAACACCGUGAAAACGGUGCUAAUACCGCAUAACGUUGCACCAUGGCAUCGUGGAGCAACCAAAGGAGCAAUCCGGUUAAAGAUGGCCUCGCGUCCGAUUAGUUAGUUGGUGGGGUAAUGGCCUACCAAGACAGCGAUCGGUAGCCGGACUGAGAGGUCGAACGGCCACAUUGGAACUGAGAUACGGUCCAGACUCCUACGGGAGGCAGCAGUGGGGAAUAUUGGGCAAUGGGCGAAAGCCUGACCCAGCAACGCCGCGUGAAGGAAGAAGGCC